rnacentral:rRNA from 1 species
UACGUAGGGUGCGAGCGUUGUCCGGAAUUAUUGGGCGUAAAGAGCUCGUAGGCGGUUUGUCACGUCUGCUGUGAAAUCCCGAGGCUCAACCUCGGGCCUGCAGUGGGUACGGGCAGACUGGAGUGCGGUAGGGGAGAAUGGAAUUCCUGGUGUAGCGGUGAAAUGCGCAGAUAUCAGGAGGAACACCAAUGGCGAAGGCAGCACUCUGGGACGGUACUGACGCUGAGACGCGAAAGCGUGGGGAGCAAACAGG